AUUGAACGCUAGCGGGAUGCUUUCUACAUGCAAGUCGAACGAGUGGCGGACGGGUGAGUCAUAUAUCGGAACGUGCCCAGUAGCGGGGGAUAACUACUCGCUAGAGUGGCUAAUACCGCCUUCUAUUGGGACGGCCGAUAUCGGAUUGGCUAGUUGUGGGGGUAAAGGCUCACCAGGGCAACGAUCCGUAGCUGGUUUGGGAGGACGACCAGCCAGACGGGGACUUAGACACGGCCCAGACUCCUACGGGAGGCAGCAGUGGGGAAUGUUGGACAAUGGGGGAAACCCUGAUCCAGCCAUCCCGCGUGUAUGAGAAGGCCUUCGGGUUGUAAAGGACUUUGGGCAGAGAAGCGGUAUCUGCAGAAUAAGCACCGGCUAACUACGUGCCAGCAGCCGCGGUAAUUC
rnacentral:rRNA from 1 species